AGGAAGGCUUCCGGGACACCGUUUCGGGGGCCUUUUUCUUUUGC
rnacentral:antisense_RNA from 1 species